UGUAUUUCCUUCUCUGUUUUAUCCAAACUAGGUCACACCUGCGUCAUUUCGUUCGCCGUCUCGGUUGUGUUUUGCCCUGGCCUCUCGCCGAGCCGCCACCGCCUGCCAUCGAGCCUCUGGUGUGCGCCUACACCUCCCCCUUCCUGACUCGGCUUCUCUGUGAAGGUUUCUAUGUCUGCCUAGGAGCUCCAGGAUCACGGCUCUUCGAGCUCGGCUGCCUCCACCAACAAUAAUCUGCGAGCGCUUGCCCAGACGAUGAUAUGGAGAUCGUUGAGAUUUCGGGUACAUAUGUACUCGGAGGUAUAUUAGAUAAACUCGACCUUCCAGCGCCACGCUAUCACUCUCGAGCACAUCGAAGGGGCCAGUUUGUAAGUAAUGUUACAUUUUAUCCCUUCAAAGAACAUCUGCGGCACCCGUCUACAGCGGUCCAGCUCUCGAGCUCUCCCUGCAUAACUUGCAGAGCACAAUAGAUGUAGUUCUCAAAAGGCAAUAGACUAUACGGAAGAUCACCAGAGGAAGGUCCUGCAAGACUACAACUAUAUUGAAUUGAAAAGAUCAGAGGAGACCAACUUACAACUGAGAAAGAUGAAAGGAUCAAAGGGCUAGCGACGACAACUGGUAACUACAUAGGUUUCAACAUGAAUCCUGUGAACCUUCUGUCCAAAGUCAUCCUAGAUGCUAUGUUUGAGAAAGUCGGCCUUCCAGCGGCCGCCUACUCGGCACGUGCAGUUCAUCUCGGGUGCGUUGAAGUCACAGUCGGCUUCCAUCCAAUUUCCAGUGAACUGGAGCGUCCUGUUAGUCAGACAUAUAUUUCAACCUUUGCUUUCACUGAUCUGGAAGAAGCGCAGAAUCAUGUUGCGCGUAAAGCCAUGGAAUUCAUGGAGAAGGAACACAAUGUGGUCCCAAGUGAUUAUAGCUAUAACAAACUUCAGUCUGCUAGGCUUAACAACGAGUCACUGCGUCAGCGUCUGAAAGAAAAGGACCGCAGUAUCGAAUCAUUGAAAAAGGUCAAUACAUCUCUGGUGCAGCAACUAGAAGAGAAGAACAACAUCUUGACUCUAUUAUGAAGACAAAUAGAGACAUGAUGGAGAAGCUGGCUGAAAAGGAUGCAGUCAUUGAAUCCAUCAACAAGGUCCAUCAAAUACUGCUGAAGCAGCUUAGUGAGAAACACGAGAUCAUAAAAAAGCUCAGCAAAGGCUGGGAUAACUCACUGGAUACUGGAUUUUCAGCAACCAUCCAACUUCAGUGUCUGAUUGAUGAGGGCAUGUCCCAUGGAUCAACAUAGGCAGGCAUUGAGCUCAAUGCGACUCUCCAGAAUGCUCAGCACAUAUGUGAGUACCUUGAGCAGAACACUAUCCUUGCUGUUGAGUACCUACAGUCCAUUGGGACAUAUCCAUAUGACCCAAAGCCAGGUUUUACUGAUGAUGAAGACAACUGUUCAGUGGACCCCGAGCCCGUGCCACCAGAGCAUCCACCCUACAUGAGAAGUUGUUUGGAUGAUGAGGAGAUCUUUGAUAGUGAAGGCAAUUGCUCUACAGACUACGACACUUUGCUCAAGGAGCACUACUGAUACAACAUCACCAACAUGCCAGCGUGAUUCUCUUGAGGAUCGCUCGGUGGUAUCAGCUUGCUAUCUUUUACUACGUGGCCACUUAAGGCACAUAUCCCAAUGUACAGACAGCCCGGAAGCCACAAGGACAAUGGCGUGGCACAUCAAAAGAGGCCCACCCAACUAGAAAAUAGGUAUAAUCACGAUAGAUGAUGCAAAUUUCGCGGAGCUGAAAAAAUGCAAAAGAAAACUUCAGGCUGAGGAGUUCUGGUCGUCGACACUCUACGACCAGGCCAGCGCCCUGCAUGACCAACUCUCUUUACUGACCGUAAUCAACCAGGUCCCCAACCUAAGGCUAAACAAGAAGCUGUUGUGUUACCUUCUACGCAUCAGAAUACUGUACAUGCCAGCCAAAUCAUGCUGUCUAAGGAUACCACUGGAGGAGAAAGUGCAUCGACCCCGAUCACAGCAAAUAAUAAUAGCAUCCAUCGAGUGCCUUCUAAAAAUAACAAGAAGAUGAGGACCGCGCGUCGAGCGCUAUUCCCUGGAAAAUAGAGCGGCACAUACGCCAUUGCUCCCAUCAUUGCAACAACCCGAUGGAAAAAGCCGUUUUCCAUGUCUAUGUUGCAUCGAACCUUCCCAGAUUCAGGACCCGUCACUUUUGUCAUGCACACAGCUUGAUCUUGCAGCUGUAUAUACUGCGUCCGUAUUAGCUUCCUCUGGGCGCAUCGCUAUGUAUAAAUGCAUGGAACCCUCUGUUAUGCUACUGCAGAUUAGAUGCAAACCACAUGCUUUUGUAACUCCCCACGUCUUCCUGUCAUGUAAUGGACAUAUUAUGAGCAUAUCAUAUCUCUAUCUACGUCGAACAAAGUGGUUCCCAUA